CUUGAGGAGUCGUCCUUUCACCAACAGGACGAACGGAUCUGGCGGGAAUUUGGCUUUAAAGGACAUCACGAUGGGACUACGCUGGGUGCGUGAGAACAUUGGCGCUUUUGGCGGCGAUCCAACGCGAAUAACUCUGAUGGGCCAUGACACUGGAGCAGCGUUAGUGAAUCUGUUAUUGCUCGCUUCUUACAGCAAAGGAUUAUUUCACCGUGUCGUGUUGUCCAGCGGCUCGGCUCUAAGUCCCUGGGCCUCGGUACACGAUCCGAACGAUCUCAGGAUAAAGAUCGGCGAGCAGAUGGGCUGCUCGACCAAGGAGGACGAUGACAUAGCCGAUUGCUUACGGGGAGUACCGUUGAAGACUCUUCUGGACAUACAACUUCCCGAAAUCAGAUUCGUGCCUCGCAUCGGACCGGCUCUGCCCGUGGACCAAAACAAUCCUGAUCCAGGUCUGGACAUGGAGCGUGCGAGCGACGCGUUUAUCAAGGUGCCGCUGAUCCUGGGCGUCUCUACGACCGAGUCCAACCUCGAUUUCAACGCCAACGACAUCCAAUACGGCUUCGAAGAGGAUCACCGUAAUCGCAUUCUGCGCACCUUCAUCCGCAACGCCUACGUCUACCAUCUGAACGAGAUUUUCUCAGCGGUGAGGAACGAGUACACGGACUGGGAUAAGCCGGUGCUGCAUCCCAUCAUAAUACGGGAUUCGACCAUGGAGGCGUUGAGCGACGGUCAUACAGUCGCGCCGCUCAUGAGAAUCGCCUUCUAUCAUGCCAGACGGGGCGCCAAGACGUACUUUUAUCACUUUAAUCAUCAGUCCAAGGACAACGGCUACGUGCAGCGUCUGGGGAGCGUUCGUGGGGAGGACAUACCGUACAUUUUCGGGCUACCGCUAGUGGCAGGCGGGGCCUUCUUCCCGCGGAAUUAUUCUCGACAAGACCAGGGCGUUGCGGAGGCCGUCCUCACCUUCUUCACCAAUUUCGCCAAGACCGGUAACCCGAACGAGCCGCACAAGAUCGAGUCGGUCGACUAUGGCACGCCAAAGGAGAAGACGCGAUUCCGCGGUCUCACUUGGGAACAAUAUGAGACAGGCUCUCAGCAGUAUCUCACGAUAGCAUUAAAGCCAAAAAUGAAGAGCCAUUAUCGCGGUCAUAAAAUGGCCAUGUGGCUCAACUUGAUACCGCAACUUCAUCGUCCUGGUGACGAUGACGUUUCCAUGCGGCAUCAUCACUUCAGAGAACGCGGCGAUCAUUAUUACGCAGGAGCGGUUCGAAAUGAAUGGUACACGCCACUGCCGUUGACAGGCACAACACGGACGAGCGCUUCCUCGACUACUGCCUGCAGCACGUCUACCGACUUUGAGGACAGCCUCGUCAUUGAGGACAUCAAAUCAAUUCUGGAGACCUCCGAGGAUGACGCCGAGCUGUUGCAGAGACUGGCAUCUCGUCAUUACUACAGCACCACUACCGCCCUGGCGAUCACCGUGGGUGUCGGCUGCAUUCUUCUGGUGUUAAACAUGCUGAUCUUUGCUGGAAUCUACUAUCAGCGUGAUCGCGACAAGAAACGCGCCGCCAUGGAUUGCAGACCAAACGGACAGGAGUCCCUACCAAUGACCACUAGGACGUCCAUAAAGCCUUCCGAAAGUACGCGGCCCGCCCAGGAACCGCCACCCUCGUACACUACCCUCGCGAGAAGCCCCUCCAUACAGGAACAACAGCAGCAGCAACAGCUCGCGCAGUCUCAGAGCAGCCUGGAGCAGUCGAACAAAAAGGAGCCGAGAGGAUCCGGUCAUGGGACCAGCAAGGACUCGAUUCCGCCGAAACCGCCCGCUAGGACCACCAGCUCACUCAGCACCACUGCUGGUAACACUAAUACCAUCAAGAAACGUGUGCAGAUACAAGAGAUAUCCGUAUAGCAUUAGGGGUUGCCCCUCGAGGGCAACGCACGAACGAAACGAGUGACAUUUGUAGACGCGGAAGCGGCAGAGUCCAGAUUUUGAAUGAUGUUCCCUCAUUUUAUCAGCGAAGGUGAACGGAUCGGCUUGACUUGGUGAAAGAAACGUCUCGUUUAUCACAAUUAUACAAGUGCAACUCGCGAAUCAGCGAAAGAACUUUUGUGGAGUGGAAUCUUUUGCGAUGUCACGUGUAGAUCGUGACUUCUCUACUUAACGUGCGAUUGGAAUUAUGUGUCUGACUGCAAUAGGAUAUUACUACUAGAAAUCGUCGAUAUUAUUGCCGACUUUUACUACUUGUAGUGCGCGACAUGGCUGACUAUAACGCGAUAGCACUACUGAACUGUUAUCACUAAAGUACGACUGACACUGUUACUAUCUUACAAGACAUUACUACUGAUGUUCUUUCUAUUGGUGAAAAUGUAAGAUUGUACAUGCUUGUUACGACUGAUACAAAACAUGGAUUAUACGUAGUUGCUACUUAUCGCGGAAAAUUUAGGUGGCCUUAAAAUACAUCACUGCACGUAAAGGGCAACGUAUCGAUAUCUUCGAUAUCACAAAGAGCGCUUGGCGCUCUUGGAUUUGUCACGGACGAGACGCUAUAAUUGAACUUUAUAGCGCACGGAGAUUCAAGGAUAUCUCUGCUAAAAAGCAAUUAUGCGUAUAGGAAUACCGGUGCACAGAUCGGUGCACAAUCAUUUCCGUGACUUCGGUUUGAGAGAUCUCGCUCUUGAAACGAUCGGAAUACCAAAGUCACGUACACGAUUCGCAUACCAUCGCAUACCUCCUCGUCUCGACUGCUUUGUGAAGCAUUGGAUUGAUUGGAAGGAAGAGACACUCGAUUCCAAACGGAUCAAACGGACGCUCAUCCCUUAUCCGAUAUAUUCACGAGCGAAACGAAAGUUCUGCCCCUAUAUAACUGCAAGUAUCAUUCUUGUAUUACUCGCUUGCGUAAGAUUGCAACAGCGUCAGUUGCAUCUUUUGACCGAAGGUCCUGCCAAAGAGAAAUAGAUCUCCUAAUAAAUAUCGCGAAAAUUACUCGGGCGAAAGACGCGCAAUUCUCCGACUGCGCAAUCGCCGAGUACAGAAGUCGUAAAACGGCUUUCGAAUGACCGGAACAGCAUAACUUUCGAGUGGCCGGACUCGAUCAUCUGCCGAAUGUUCUGAUAAAGUGAAUAGUUUGACAAUCGCAAUUAUCGAAAUUGCGACUAAAGAAUUCCUGAUAAUGUCUGAAAAUAUAUAGACGUUCAUAAAAUAUAAUUUUCUCUCUUACGUUUUUUGCAUGCGAGCUUCAAGAACCUGUCUGAUAAUUGUAGAAAAUUAUAUACAAAUUAAUGCAAGUAUUGUUGAAAUACUGACAAAAAAAAUUGAGAUAUUAAUAUGUUCGUAUUAUUUAAGAUUUAAAAAUUGAAAUUAUUAUUUCUGAAAGUUUAAAAUCGUUGAUUUAAUUAAAUUAUAUACGGUUUUAUAACUAUUCUAUAUCUUAACUAAAAGUCUUUCAUGAGUUGCUUGCAAAUUUUUUUAUUUUAAGAGAAAGUUAAAAUUAUUGAAAAUUUUUAAUAUUAAAUUGAAAUUGUUUAUAAAAGUAGAGAUAUAUAAAUAUAUUGAUAUGAGAGCUUCUGUUGAUGAAUAAUAUUAAUAAGUCCUUUGUACGCGGCCUUUCCGAACCGAGAUUAUUACUGAGAUAAAAUAUGCUCAAAAAUGUAAUAAUGUAAUAAUGAAACAAAAAAAAGUAAUUUCUCUUAAAGUACAGUUAAAAUUAUCAAAGAUUUGUAUAGGACUCUCUCUCUCUCUCUUCCACGACCAAGUAUCCUAAGACGUGAUCGCGCUCGUGUUUGCAGAGAUACAUUUUGUUCUUUGUAGAAAGUCUUUAAUCUCGAAUUAAUAUUCAUGACCUGAUUCUGACGAUACACACCGUCAGAUUUUAGAGAUGUUAAGUUUUGAAAGUCACCUUCAUCAUUUCGUGCGCAUCUAAAUCGGUUUGUGCUUAAAAAUAAAAUGCACCUAUCAGGAUAUAUCAUGGAUGUAAAACAAUAUUAUAAUAGUAUCGAGAGCAUGAGAAAAAUUCAAUCAAAAUACAAAAAGCAAAGAAUAUUACGGACGCGAUCAUUGAUAAAUUUUUACUCGCAUAAAAACUCCUAAAUGACAUGUUUGUAUCUCAUUUAUAUCCUAAUUAUUGAAACUAUGGUAAAAUCGUGAGCCUGAAAUUCAUUCGUAAAUAUACAUAUAAUAAUAAUGCUUUAUGAGAAGUUAAUUUUCUAACUUCAAAUGAUAUAUAUCCUAUAUGGAAAAAAAAGAACCACGCAAUCUUUUCCAUUCUAGAAUGUCCCGAGUAAGCGAGUUUCAAGAUCGUUAAAAAUCAAGAAACUGUCUAAAGUAAUAAGAAUCAUUUAAUCGAUCGCAUGUACGACUUCCUCGGCAUGAAAUUAUACAUAUGUAUUGAUACGAUUAAGAGAACAUAAAUUUGUAAUUAAGAGUACUAUGUAGCGUAAUAUGCACACAGACUCGGUGUCGCGUAAAAUCGUAUUGCCGAUUAUACAAUAAUUUUAAGUACGUAUGUACGUUACUACGUGUAAUUUUUCAAAAUAAUUAUUCGCGGUCUGAAAUUUGACACGUUGUGAUACUUGCGUGAAGGUAGUAUCGACACACGUAAGACGGCAGUGAAAUUUAAAUGCGUGUUAUAGUCUAGAAAAUCAAUUUGUAAAUUUCACUGUACAACAAUAAAUGCCAAUUUAUAAA